rnacentral:lncRNA from 1 species
GUUUCGAAGGCCAUGCUACAGUUAAUUACGAAGUCAGAUGAUUGAGGAUAUUGAGGUGAUUUUGAUUUAGACGAGGGCGUCUUUUCCUUCAGACCGGGGGAAGACAGUUGAUAUGGAUGUUUUUAAUCAUUUGAUGUCAUGGAAGACAUUUUCUCAGAAGGGGGAGAAUGUGGUAGAGACGAUUUUCAUUGAUUUUAUUAUUUUAAUCACUUCUCUGUAUAGUUUAUCAUUAUUACUUAUUGAUCAGUUUAUCUAUGUAUUUUUUAAUCAUUAGAGUAUUUAGUAUUAAUCAGCUAUGCUUGACCGCACAGUGGUAACUGUUUCUACCUGUACAAUUUAUAUAUCAUUAGUUAGAAAGCUCAGGUGAAUUUCUCUGUGGUCAGAAUUAUCUGUGUUCUCAUUGGUUAAUUGGGACAUACCCCCAGAUUUGAAAUGGGUAUUGUUUGAGAAAAAUGGAGAAUUUAUAUUUACUUUAGUUUGUGCCAUUUCUAUAUUGUUUGGAACGGAAUGAUAUUUCAUUGAUAGUCAUUUGCAGUAUUUUGGACAUAUGGAAUUUAGUAUAUUCACUUUAUAAGGUAAGAAUGCACUUUAUUUACUUUGAGUAGAAUGAGAGAUGAAUGAAUUGUAUGGAACGCUUUAAGCCCUAUUUGGUAGGUAUAACCCUAUAUCCCUAUAUUAUGUAAAUGUGUGUAAAAGAGAUGAUUCCGAGUAUGAGUUAUAUGAAAGCGUAGUUUGCAAGUAGGGAGAUAGAUUUUUGAAUGAUUCUGAGAAUGACCUUUGACCCUUAUGUCAUGAGUCUUAUACGUCACAUUGCUUUAUACUGAUACUACGUCAUAGCCUGUAAUUUUAAUAUAUGAUAAUCAAGUUUAUAUUACUAUUGUGAUUGAUUAUUAAAAUCAUUGUAAUGCUUUGAUUAUAUGGAACUGAAAUGUGUAUUUGAAUACUUAUUGUGUUGUACAUUGCUUGUAGGACCCAUUGAUCAUACAGACAUAUAUUUGAUGUUAGAAGUAGAGCAUUGGUUAUAAUGCUAAUGUAGUGCUGUUGAUGUUAUAGCCUGAUUCCAUAAAUCGGUAAGGCUUAUCUUGAUCUCUAUUGAUAUACGUAUUAUUGAUAUACUAUGGUACCUUGAUAUAUGUUAAUAGAAUGUUUGAUAGUUAUAUUCAAAU